UUCCGGUUGAUCCUGCCGGACCUGACUGCUAUCGGAUUGAUACUAAGCCAUGCGAGUCAUUGUAGCAAUACAAGGCAGACGGCUCAGUAACGCGUAGUCAACCUACCCUAUGGACGGGGAUAACCUCGGGAAACUGAGAAUAAUACCCGAUAGAACAUUAUACCUGGAAUGGUUUAUGUUUCAAAUAAUUUAUUGCCGUAGGAUGGGACUGCGGCCUAUCAGUUUGUUGGUGAGGUAAUGGCCCACCAAGACUAUUACAGGUACGGGCUCUGAGAGGAGUAGCCCGGAGAUGGGUACUGAGACACGGACCCAGGCCCUAUGGGGCGCAGCAGGCGAGAAAACCUUGCAAUGUGCGAAAGCACGACAAGGUUAAUCCGAGUGGUUUCUGCUAAAGGAACCUUUUGUUAGUCAUAGAACCACUAAUGAAUAAGGGGUGGGCAAGUUCUGGUGUCAGCCGCCGCGGUAAAACCAGCACCUCAAGUGGUCAGGAUGAUUAUUGGGCCUAAAGCAUCCGUAGCCUGCUUUGUUAGUUUUCGGUUAAAUCCAUACGCUCAACGUAUGGGCUGCCGGGAAUACUGCAAAGCUAGGGAGUGGGAGAGGUAGACGGUACUCGGUAGGAAGGGGUAAAAUCCUUUGAUCUAUUGAUGACCACCUGUGGCGAAGGCGGUCUACCAGAACACGUCCGACGGUGAGGGAUGAAAGCUGGGGGAGCAAACCGGAUUAGAUACCCGGGUAGUCCCAGCUGUAAACUAUGCAAACUCGGUGAUGCAUUGGCUUGAUGCCAAUGCAGUGCCGCAGGGAAGCCGUUAAGUUUGCCGCCUGGGAAGUACGUACGCAAGUAUGAAACUUAAAGGAAUUGGCGGGGGAGCACCACAAGGGGUGAAGCCUGCGGUUCAAUUGGAGUCAACGCCGGAA
rnacentral:rRNA from 1 species